GAGUUUGAUCAUGGCUCAGGACGAACGCUGGCGGCGUGCUUAACACAUGCAAGUCGAACGAGAAUCUACUGAAAGAGUUUUCGGACAAUGGAAGUAGAGGAAAGUGGCGGACGGGUGAGUAACGCGUGAGGAACCUGCCUUGAAGAGGGGGACAACAGUUGGAAACGACUGCUAAUACCGCAUGAUGCAUAAGGGUCGCAUGAUUCUUAUGCCAAAGAUUUAUCGCUUCAAGAUGGCCUCGCGUCUGAUUAGCUAGUUGGCGGGGUAACGGCCCACCAAGGCGACGAUCAGUAGCCGGACUGAGAGGUUGAACGGCCACAUUGGGACUGAGAUACGGCCCAGACUCCUACGGGAGGCAGCAGUGGGGAAUAUUGGGCAAUGGGCGCAAGCCUGACCCAGCAACGCCGCGUGAAGGAAGAAGGCUUUCGGUAUGUAAACUUCUAUCAGCAGGAAGAAAAUGACGGUACCUGACUAAGAAGCCCGGCCACUACGUGCCAGCCGCCGCAGUAAC
rnacentral:rRNA from 1 species